UUCCUUUUUCUGAUAGGGUUACUUAACUAAGGGAUCAGGGGAAUGCUGUAGCUAUUGUUUGCCUCAGUUUUGACAGACCAUUUGAUGAGUGCCAUGGCCUCAGCCUCCUUCUGGGCAGCGGUCUGCCUCCCUUCCUCUGCGCGGCGCAGGGACCGACUCUGCUUAGCCUCUGUGUCCUGGCAGGACGAGGACCCAUCUUUCCAGACUGGACACCUCCCCUUGACCUCCCGGGGCCUCCCUUCGCUGCUUCAGAGCUGACAUCUUUAUCUGGAACUCCUGAGGGUUGAGAAGGGAGAGGAAGAUUCAGCUGGAACCUGGAGUUGGGUAGCGUGGCUGAUAUAGUCAUCCUCAUGCGCCGGGGGCUUCCUGAGGGAAGAAGAAAGUGGAUUGUGGCACUUUGAGGCAACUCCCUGGCUGCCCUGCCUGAGGCGCCAGGUGGAGAUAGAAACCAAGAUCCGGGUCCACUGAGAGGAGGCAAGAAGAAUCACACGGAUGGGUAAGGACCAGUCUUGCCCAUAGACACAGUGGGUGGGUCCCUCCUUGGUCUGAUGUAAGGAACCAGGGAAAUCCCUCCUCAAUAUCUUCCCAAUGCUACUACAGAUUCCAUUCCACCUCAUCCAACCCCCAGGUGCCACGACCUAGCUAUGGGACCUUGAACGAGCCUCAGUUUCUCUCUAUGAAAUGAGAAGGUUGGACUAGAUGGUCUCUAAGGACCCGUCUAGUGCUAAACCUGUGGGGUCCUCUGAUGUUCUGUGUUCUAAGAUAAAUCAGUCAAUCAGGUAUG